AAUGGGCGCAAGCCUGAUCCAGCAAUGCCGCGUGGGUGAAGAAGGCCUGCGGGUUGUAAAGCCCUUUAAGUGGGGAGGAACGGCGGGAUGCGAACAGUGUUCUGCUCUGACGUUACCCACAGAAUAAGCACCGGCUAACUCCGUGCCAGCAGCCGCGGUAAUACGGGGGGUGCAAGCGUUAAUCGGAAUUACUGGGCGUAAAGCGUGCGUAGGCGGUUUGGUCAGUCAGCCGUGAAAGCCCUGGGCUUAACCUGGGAACGGCGGUUGAGACGGCCAGACUCGAGUGGGCUAGAGGAUCGUGGAAUUCCCGGUGUAGCGGUGAAAUGCGUAGAGAUCGGGAGGAACACCGAUGGCGAAGGCAGCGGUCUGGGGCCACACUGACGCUGAGGCACGAAAGCGUGGGGAGCAAA
rnacentral:rRNA from 1 species